rnacentral:rRNA from 1 species
UGGGGAAUUUUGCACAAUGGGGGAAACCCUGAUGCAGCGACGCCGCGUGAUUUAGAAGGCCUUCGGGUUGUAAAAAUCUUUUGUAUGGAAAGAAAAUGACAGUACCAUUCGAAUAAGGAUCGGCUAAUUCCGUGCCAGCAGCCGCGGUAAUACGGAAGGUCCAGGCGUUAUCCGGAUUUAUUGGGUUUAAAGGGAGUGUAGGCGGUUGGUUAAGCGUGUUGUGAAAUGUAGAUGCUCAACAUCUGACUUGCAGCGCGAACUGGCUGACUUGAGUACACACAACGUAGGCGGAAUUCAUGGUGUAGCGGUGAAAUGCUUAGAUAUCAUGAAGAACUCCGAUUGCGAAGGCAGCUUACGGGAGUGUUACUGACGCUUAAGCUCGAAGGUGCGGGUAUCGAACAGG